UACGUAGGUGGCAAGCGUUGUCCGGAAUUACUGGGCGUAAAGCGCACGUAGGCGGACCGUUAAGUCGGAGGUGAAAGCCUGGAGCUCAACUCCAGAACUGCCUUCGAUACUGGCGAUCUUGAGUAUGGUAGAGGUUGGUGGAACUCCGAGUGUAGAGGUGAAAUUCGUAGAUAUUCGGAAGAACACCAGUGGCGAAGGCGACUCUCUGGACUGUAACUGACGCUGAGGCACGAAAGCGUGGGGAGCGAACAGG
rnacentral:rRNA from 1 species